CUAAGAAUAUUCCGCAAUGGACGGAAGUCUGACGGAGCGACGCCGCGUGGAUGACGAAGGCCGAAAGGUUGUAAAGUUCUUUUGCUGGGGAAGAAUAACCGCAGGAGGGAAUGCCUGUGGGAUGACAAGAACCGGCGAAUAAGCCCCGGCCAACUACGUGCCAGCAGCCGCGGUAACACGUAGGGGGCGAGCGUUGUUCGGAAUUACUGGGCGUAAAGGGCAUGUAGGCGGCUUGGAAAGCCUGGCGUGAAAGUCUGCAGCUUAACUGCAGGGGUGCGCUGGGAACUGCUGAGCUUGAGUGACGGAGAGGGAGCUGGAAUUCCUGGUGUAGGGGUGAAAUCUGUAGAUAUCAGGAAGAACACCGAUGGCGAAGGCAAGCUCCUGGCCGAUGACUGACGCUGAGGUGCGAAAGUGUGGGGAUCAAACAGGAUUAGAUACCCUGGUAGUCCACACAGUCAACGAUGUGCACUAGGUGCUGGGGCGGUAGCUUCGGUGCCGGAGCGAACGUGGUAAGUGCACCGCCUGGGGAGUAUGCUCGCAAGGGUGAAACUUAAAUG
rnacentral:rRNA from 1 species